rnacentral:lncRNA from 1 species
AUUGAUUGAACAUGUGAUAUUACAACACUAAAUAUGUAUUACAAAGCUAAGCACGUAUUUCUUAUGUAUUUAUACAAAGAUUAGUAAAUUAAAAAACUGUAUAAUACUUAUAUAUAUGGACUAUGGAGAUAAAGAAUAACAUGGAACUAUGAGAAAUCACACCAAUAAAAAAGAUUUUAAUGUGGAUAGAUCAGGAUAAUCGUCCACAUAAAUACAACAAUAAUCUAGCUAUGCAAUUAUGAUGUUUAUUCGACGCCCUUGAUUUCGUGAUCAUUUUCACUACAGGAAUUAUUGAUUGAGUAAUAGAGGUUUCUCAAACAGGUGGAGACAUUAACCUCUAGAAAUAACAUCUGGGGGUCCAGGAUUCUGAACAGGAGGACCCUGAGCGUCUGCACGGAGAAAGAAAAUGGUAUGAAUUUGGAAACUCAAUUAAUAAUACUCCUAUGUUGGAAUUUCUCUUUAAUGAUAACGAAUGGCACUAGCAUGCCAUUAAGCCAUAUAUGGAAGACAGAAGCAGAUGCUUAAUUUGCUGCUAUUAAUACCAAGAAGUUAUAUUAACGGAAUUAACUGUAUGAGCAUAAUGCAUAUAUAAGGUUUACCUAGAGCACGGGCAGUCGCAGAACCCAAAAAAGUACUAAAGAUGAAUAAGAUACAAGAAGCAAGAGCAAGAGCAAUCCACAUCCUAGACUCCAUAGACAAUUUCAUUGUCUACUAGUUUGGCGCUAUUGCUUAAUUAAUUCUCGAUCUUUUUUGUGGCUCUAUAUACACACAUAUUCAAGUCUUAUGCAAUGCCACAUGAACUUCCAG